rnacentral:rRNA from 1 species
GGCUUAAUACAUGCAAGUCGAGCGGGAUUGGUCAGCAAUGGCCAUGAGAGCGGCGCACGGGUGAGUAACGCGUACACGACCUACCUCUAACAGGGGGAUAGCCCUGGGAAACUGGGAUUAAUACCGCAUAUAAUUUUGACAAAUAAAGAGUUGAAAUGAAAGUUCAGGCGGUUAAAGAUGGGCGUGCGUCUGAUUAGGUAGUUGGCGGGGUAACGGCCCACCAAGCCUUCGAUCAGUAGCUGAUGUGAGAGCAUGAUCAGCCACACGGGCACUGAGACACGGGCCCGACUCCUACGGGAGGCAGCAGUAAGGAAUAUUGGUCAAUGGACGCAAGUCUGAACCAGCCAUGCCGCGUGGAGGAUGAAGGCCCUCUGGGUUGUAAACUUC